AUACCCCCCUUGGUCGUCUCUAAUUCAAGUAGUUUUUAUCCGAUCUUCACCAAACUUGGUCAGAAGUUGUAUCUACAUGAUGUCUAGGCCAAGUUUUAACAUGGGCUUUGCCGGGUCAAAAACUAGGUCACGGGGUCACUUAGUGUGUUUUAGACAUUCAGCAUGUUGUCCACUCUCUAAUUCAAGUAGUUUUCAUCCGAUCUUCACCAAACUUUGUCAGAAGUUGUAUCUAGAUGAUCUUAAGGCCAAGUUCAAACAUGGGCCUUGCCGGGUCAAAAACUAGGUCAUGGGGUCACUUAGUGCGUUUUUUAACAUUCAGCAUGGUGUCCUCUCUCUUAUUCAAGUAGUUUUCAUCCGAUCUUCACCAAACUUGGUCAGAAGUUUUAUCUAGAUGAUCUGAAGGCCAAGUUCGAACAUGGUCCAUGCCCGAUCAAAAACUAGGUCACAGGGUCACUUAGUAUGUUUAACACAUUGAGCAUGGUGUCCGCUCUCUAUUUCAAGUAGUUUAAAUCCGAUCUUCACCACACUUGGUCAGAAGCUGUAACUAGAUGACGUGUACGUCAAGUUCGAACAUGGGCCAUGCCGGGUCAAAAACUAGAUCACGGGGUCACUUAGUGUGUUUUUAUCCAAUCUUUACCAAAAUUGGUCAGAAGUUGUAUUUUGAUAAUGUCUAGGGCAAGUUUGAAUAUGGGUCAUGCCUGUUCAAAAACAAGGUCACAGGGUCACUUAGUUCGUUUUAAACAUCACAAUGUUGUCCGCUCUCUAAUUCAAGUAGUUUUUAUCCAAUCCUCAUCAAACUUAGUCACAAGUUUUAUCUAGGACAAGUUUGAACAUGGGCCAUUCCGGGCCUAAAACUAGGUCACGGGGUCACUUAGUGCGUUUUUUAACAUUCAGCAUGGUGUCCGCUCUCUAAUUCGAGUAGUUUACCUCGGUCUUCACCAAACUUGGUCAGAAGUUUUAUGGAGAUGAUCUAAAGGUCAAGUUAGAACAUGGGCCUUUCUGGGUCAAAAACUAGAUCAAGGGGUCACUUAGUGCGAUUUAAAAAUUGAGCAUGGUGUCCGCUGUUUUUUGUGAAGAGGACAUGCAAAAUAUUAUUUGUCAAUGCGGCAUGUGGGGGUAUUCGUCACGUCUGUGACAAAGCUCUAGUUUGAGUAACUGUUUGCGGGAAAAAGUGUGAUGAUAAUGCCCGACAUUUCAUGUCAAUUGAAGUUGACACAGGGGGGCACUUAUCCGCCCCUUUAAUUAUUGUGAGGGGGCAGAUCUCCGCCUACUUAAUUUUCUGAAAGGGGGGCAGUUCUCCCACCUACAGAUUUGAUUUUCAGGGGUUUUCAUGCUAAUUUUUCCCAAUUUGUGUGGUACUGAUACUUUUCCUAAUGGGACAAACACAUUGCCGCUGACCUGGGAUAUAGCUGAAUUAUGCCCCCACUUUUAUUCUUCAAAGAUUGUUUUAGGUUAAUAUGCAACAUCUUUAUACCACUAUUUUACUACUGUACAGCCAACGCAGAACAAACAUAAUCCUUUGUCAUGCCACUGUCAGAACGUUUGUACUCGGUGGCCGCGUCAAGUGUUCUGCAUUAACAUUGGGUACUUUCGCGUCAUAAAUCUGCCACAUACUUAUGCGGCGGAUCGAGUGCAAAGAUAUACACCUACAUGUACAUUUGUGUAUAGUCGAAACCUAGAUUAAAGCUACUUUCAUACCGGUAGUUAUUAUUUUCAUGUUUUAAUAAGCGGAUAUGAUUUUUAACCAGGUUUUCCGAAGGAAAAAACUGGUUAUUAGAUUGGCGAAUGCGGGCGGGCUGGCUGGCUGGCGGGCUGGCUGGCUGGCGGGCUGGCGGAAUAAGCUUGUCCGGGCCAUAACUAUGUCGUUCAUUGUCAGAUUUUAAAAUCAUUUGGCACAUUUGUUCACCAUCAUUGGACGGUGUGUCGCGAGAAAUAAUUACGUCGAUAUCUCCAAGGUCAAGGUCACACUUUGAGUUCAAAGGUCAAAAAUG